ACAACCGAGGUAAACAAAAAAGGGUUCUCCCUAUUUUCAACUGUUACAAUAUAUCAAGCAAGCAAACGUGUCCUCUCAAACUGCUAGCUACAUCACCCUGUAACCUCCAUGUGUGCCCUUGCCAAGCAUUAGUCUUCAAUGUUUGCCCGCAGAAGAAGAUCAGAAGAAGAGCCGUUCCAGUGCUCUCUCUGCCUGGAUGUAUUUAGUGAUCCAGUCACCACCAGUUGUGGACACAAUUUCUGCAUGGCCUGUCUCAAUGAAUACUGGGAUAGCAGACACCAGUAUCAGUGUCCACUAUGCCAGGAGAGAUUCCCCAGAAGACUUAACCUAGUUGUCAACACAGCAUUCAGAGAUGUUGUUGAUAGAUUUAAAGCAAGAAGAACAGCCCCUGCCCUUUACCCUGGAAUUGUUUGGAUCACGGUCCUGAUCUUGGUCAUGAUCUUUGUCCUGAUUUUGGUGUUUGUGGACCUGGGUCAGCUCUCACUGCAUCUCCUACAGGAUCUCCGAUCCAAGGACAGGUCUGAGAAGGACUGGUGGUGGAGACAGUGAGAGGAACUUCAGAAUGGACUGGGCUAUACUUGCAUGCUUUCAUGUGAGAAGUUGAUAACGGCUUGAUAAUCUUGGAACCCUGAACCAAAUCUCUGUCCUUCUAGAACGAAACUCAGAACUCUCCCCAGGAUGACAGUGUCAGAAUGGAAUGCAGAAGAAUGCAGAGUUAAUCAUCACCUCAAACAUUCUGCACAAACCAGUUAUUCAACAUUCCUCGCCAAAGACCUUCCACAUUGAAAUAAAAAAAGCACAGCAUAUUUGUCAUAGCUAUUGAAAUCAAUUUCCUUGUGGAGUAAUUCUCCAUACCCAAGUUUCAUACCAGGGCGGCAGGUAGUCUAGUGGUUAAGAGCAUUGGGCUGGUAAACGGAAGGUCGUUGGUUUGAAUCCCCCGAGCCGACUAGGUGAAAAAUUUGUCAAUGUGCCCUUGAGCAUGGCACUUAACCCUAUUUGCUCCGGAUAAGAGUGUCACGCUUGCCAGAGAAAUAUAAUGUAAGGUUUAACUGAAGAUGGGUUUUGAAUAAUUCAGUGCUAUGCUCAACGUUUUAGAUCAGCUUUUAGAUCAGCUUUUCACAACACAACGCUUUUCACUGUACGUGCACACCAUACACACCACAGUACUAAUCCAUGAGCAUGCCCUCCUUAAAUCGACUGUUUAAACAUUUAUGAGCCGAUAAGAUCUAGUGUAAAUCAAAUCAAAUUUUAGGCAAUGUGAAUAGUCUGGGUAGCCAUUUGAUUAGAUGUUCAGGAGUCUUAUGGCUUGGGGGUAGAAGCUGUUUAGAAGUCAGUUUAGGGAGCUGAGUAUUGAGGGGAGUUCACCUCUGGCCAGGGCUCGUGUGCUUGUAUAUAUAGUAAGCCUAUAAAAAAAAAUUAUGUAGCCACAAACCAUAGCAUGAAUUCAUUGUAUUUCAUUGCUUCAAACCGUAGCUCUGAAUGCAAUAACUUUAU